GCUCGGGAGCGCGAGCGAAGAUGGCGCCUGCUAGCGUCCGCCUGGAGACUGUUCGGUCCAGCCGCCGCCCGGAAGUGGAAGUAUGUGUUGAAUUACAGGCCUGCCCCCUCGGACCAUGGAUUUCAUAGAAGCAGCAACAAAUGAGAGUUCCUGCUCUUCCACAUCUUCACCAGUAUUUGCUGUUGUCGGUGUUCUAGAUUUUGGUCACUCUAAUAGGCUAUGGAGUUUGGAGUAGCCUUUGAACUCAGCUAUAUUUUAGUGGUAUCCUUCAUUUUGUGAUAGCUUACUUUGUGGAAUUUUAUCUCUCUGUAGUGGGGCAUUUGAAUAGUUGUAUGUUAAAGAUUAUAUUUGAAAUUUAUACUUCUUGCCCGAUUUUCAUCAUCAAAUAUUUACUUUGGUAUUUAUAUUAUUGGUUAUGAGGUCCCAUAGAGCUGAGUGCAUGGUUCUUGGCAGAAAAUUUUGGUUGAAGAGAUGUGUGCCAGAAUGGAUUUAUGAUUACUUGUAAAGAUAAAUAGAAAAAAUCUGGAAACGGAUAUAAAUUACAGUGUUCUCUUUAGACAUUAAUACAAGAACUCUCCUUUUUCUUUUGUUGUACCCACCUGAUGUAUUUCUUUGGCGUUAAUUAUUCCUACCCCAAGUAGAUGUUGGCAACAUAGUGGUCAAGAGCUCAGUCCUUUGGGUUCAGAUAUGCUAAUCACUAGCUAGAUUUCAUAAUCUGUGUAAGCUGCAGAUUUUUAAUAAAAAAAAAAACAACUUUUAAUACCUUGCUGGGUGUCUAGAGUUGAUGAUAUAAUGCAUAUGAAGCGCUUGGACAUAGCAAACAUGUACUUGUUAUUUUAGGGGUUGCCAUUGUAUAUGUCAGUGCUUCAUCAGAAUUUUCAUGGCUCAGCCAAAUGGUACCUUUAAAAAUUUUUUUUUUUAAUGUUUAUUUAUAUUUGAGAGAGAGACAGAGCAGAGGGGCAGAGGGGCAGAGAGAGAGGGAGACAUAGAAUCCGAAGCAGGCUCUAGGAUCUGAGCUGUCAGCACAGAGCCUGAUGCAGGCCUUGAACGCACAAACCGUGAGAUCAUGACCUGAGCCAAAGUCAGAUGCUUAACUGACUGAGCCACUCAACUGCCCCCAAAUGGUACCUUUUUAAUUAAAGGCACACCUCUUAAUGGUUCUCUUUUCAUAGUUCCUAAAAUGUUUCCAAAAAUCUUAGAAAUAUUUAUUUUCAGAAUACUCAUGCACACACAUAUGAAAAAAAUUAAUACUACUGGGGAGACUGGAUGUGGCACUACUGGUCCAUUCUCUUAGAAAUAUCUGUCAGGUGCUUUUCAUGAAAUACAUAUUUUAAAUCUUACAAUAAUCUCUGCAAGGUAGAUGUUAUUAGUAUUCCCAUUUUAUUGAUGAGAAAAGGAAGACUUAUUGAGGUCAAAUAUCUUUCCCAAUGUCAGAGAGGUAAAAAUUGUGCAUUCUGGCAUGUAUCCAUUGUACAAAGUCUGGGAUUUUGUGUGUGUGUGUGUGUGUGUGUGUGUGUGUGUGUGUGCGCGCUUUUUUAGUUGCAUUAAAGAAAAAAUCACAGCCAGUUUUGAAUUAAAAAAUACCAGGAGUGACAACUAUGCACUCCUAACUUCUGACAACUCUAUGUUAAGCAUGUUUAUUGAUCCAAAAUAUUUGAAUGCAAGUCAGAUGACGUACAUGUGAAAACAAUCCUUCAUCAAUUUUGAGAAUGUAAACUUUCCUCUGAAGAGGGGGAGGGGAAACUACAUUUUCAAAAUUUAACUACUUCCUUUAAGGCAUACUGGAAUUUUCUUCCUUGGUUUCUUUUGCUCACUCACUAAAAUGUUACUAGGUUGAAUAUCACUCAAAUAAAUAAACAAACCUAUUUCUUUCCAUUAACUUGCCAACAUGUAAAAAGGCUAGGAGGCUUAUUUACUUUCAGGAAUCAAUUUAGGGGCAAUUCUUCUUGAUCUACUGCAACUUUUGCUUCUUCUAGUUUCUCUAACUGUAAAGCCAAUAAUGUCUGUUUUGUUUUCCUGGCCUUCAAAUUCCUUUGCAGUCACCUUCAGUGACAUGAACUGGAGAUAUUUCUACUAUUUGUUUGUUUUAGCAAAAAUAUUAUUCAUGAAAAGGAAAAGUAGAAGAUAUAAUAACAAGAAAUCGUUCAAUUUUCAUUAGAUUCUGCUCUGUACGACAUGUGGAAAAAUGGAGAAAAUAUAGAAAAGUCAAUAGUAAAGGCUUUCAAGGCUGGACCUCCUGGAAAGUGUGGCUUGUAUUUUGUUUCUGAUUCUCCUCUUCCUGUUUUCUGUUCAACCCACUUCUUUUCAAGUUGUGGUAGCUACACUCCAGUGGCACUGCUUUUAAAGAUCAAGAUAACAGUGCACAAUAAUGGAAAGAAUGAGACAAAUAGUUGACUUUUCAACAUUCCAUAAAAACUUUGAAGAUCAAAUCAGCAGUUCAAUAGCCUGAGAAGUUACAGGCAAUCACAGGAAGACGAGAGACAAACUUGGAACUCUUCCAAAAGACCCAAGUAAACAGAGAGGAAGUUUUGGAAGAUUGAAUCAGAGCCAGAAUAAACUAGGAUUUCUGUUUAAGAUGGAUAUUACAAAAGGAACUGAAAAAUGAUUCAGGGAGAUAUAUUUAGAUCUGGAAUCAGGAAAAGUUGUUUUAAUUAAACUUUUUAGAAUUAAGAUAUUAACUUGCAUCAGUAUUAAUUUACAUGAGAGACUAUUAAGGAUAUACAGAAAAGGUAUUUGACUAAUAACACCUUUUUUUCCUCUUUAGUAUCAAUGCCUAUGGUCAAUUAAGUGGGAAAAAAAUCAAACUAAUUUCAUGUAGUUGCUAAUAUAGUAAAAUAAAAUUUAUGUUUUAUAAA